UGAAAAACCGAUGCAGAGGGCAAAGAUAGCAAAACCAGCUGGCUCUCCCACAAUCGUACUAUCUAACCGUUUUGAUCCUAUCCUAUCAGAAGAGAGUAGCUAGAUGCUAGACAAAGUGUAAGCCGAUCCAACACUGGAGCCUUCUUCUUUGGCCUAGCCUUCAAGAAAUUGACAGAGGAUACAAUUUCGGCAGAAACACAUGUUUUGAGAUGGAUUUAGUUGGAUACAGGACGCUCAUAAAGCACUUCUUCUUUGCUUACAAAUGCUUUAUUUUAGGAUGCAAUAUUUUACGGGUUGAGAUGCAGAAAGAGCCACAAAGGUAACUAAGAGUAGUUGAACUGGCACAAAUAUAAAUCAAUCAACCACACAACUUGUUUUAUAAACAAGUCUUAUAUAUUUUUUUGGUCUACGAACUCUUGUGUUCAAAACAAUAAAUCAGUGAACAAAUUGUUGACUUAAGUU